rnacentral:rRNA from 1 species
GCUUCGUUGUUGCUUCAUGCAGGUAGAAGUAAAAAAGAAUUGGACAUCCACUUCCUUGCGAUGGAGAGGCUCAAUGAAAAUUAUGCAAGCCAUGAAGAACCCAUCAGAGUACCACAGUUCAGGGGCGGUUGUCACUUAUUGCUGGAAUUUGAUGACAAACUUUGGCAGGGCGAGGAUUAUGCAUGCAGUGUGGGCGAAAAGCAAAUGUAGCUUCCAUGAACUUGCUCCUUUUUUUAUUGAGAAGGCCUAGGAGGUCUUGCGGGAUCACCCCCCUUAUUUAUCGGUUCCAGUUCUUGUAAAGAAUAUGGUAAUAAUUCAAACAAAGUAGCCAAAGUAAAAAAA